rnacentral:rRNA from 1 species
GACGAACCGUGCGAACGUUAUUCGGAAUCAUUGGGCUUAAAAGGGCGCGUAGGCGGAUGACCGCGUCGAGUGCUGAAAUCCCCCGGCUUAACCGGGGAAUGGGCCUCGAAACGGGUCGUCUCGAGGCGAGGAGAGGGACCUGGAACAUCCGGUGGAGCGGUGAAAUGCGUUGAGAUCGGAUGGAACACCAAUGGCGAAAGCAAGGUCCUGGACUCGUAUCUGACGCUGAGGCGCGAAAGCCAGGGGAGCGAACGGG